UAUGCAACCUACCUUUUACAGGGGAAUAGCCCGGAGAAAUUCGGAUUAAUGCUCCAUGGUUUAAUUGAACGGCAUCGUUUGAUUAAUAAAGAUUUAUCGGUAAAAGAUGGGCAUGCGUAUCAUUAGCUAGUUGGUGUGGUAACGGCAUACCAAGGCUACGAUGAUUAGGGGUCCUGAGAGGGAGAUCCCCCACACUGGUACUGAGACACGGACCAGACUCCUACGGGAGGCAGCAGUGAGGAAUAUUGGUCAAUGGAGGCAACUCUGAACCAGCCAUGCCGCGUGCAGGAUGACGGUCCUAUGGAUUGUAAACUGCUUUUGUACGGGAAGAAAUGUAAUUACGAGUAAUUAUUUGACGGUACCGUAAGAAUAAGGAUCGGCUAACUCCGUGCCAGCAGCCGCGGUAAUACGGAGGAUCCGAGCGUUAUCCGGAAUUAUUGGGUUUAAAGGGUUCGUAGGCGGUUGAGUAAGUCAGUGGUGAAAUCUUAUAGCUUAACUAUAAAAUUGCCGUUGAUACUGCUUGACUUGAAUAGUAUGGAAGUAAUUAGAAUAUGUAGUGUAGCGGUGAAAUGCUUAGAUAUUACAUGGAAUACCAAUUGCGAAGGCAGAUUACUACGUACUUAUUGACGCU
rnacentral:rRNA from 1 species